rnacentral:snRNA from 1 species
CACUCUGUUUCUCUUCAGAUCGUAUAAAUCUUUCGCCUUUUACUAAGAUUCCGUGAGAGGAACAACAAGAGGUUAACGCAAUUUUUGAUGCCCUGCUUAUGUGGGGC